AUGUCAGGUCAUUUCAAGCUCUUCUGUGUCGAGCUAAGGAGCUGCUCUGUGCCCGGCUUACAGAACUGGAAGGGGUAGCCACCUUCCGCCUGAUGGAGGCUGGAGAACGGAUGGAACCUGGAUCCCUGGAGCCUGGGACACUACCUCGCUGCGGUUGGUGGUGGCCACAGACCAGUAGGAGGGCGGCUGGCAGCGGGAGCUUCUUCUGCCGGGCUGGAGGAUUAGGAGAAGGAAGAGGGAACGCCACAUGCUGGAGGCUGGAGCCUGUGCCACCGUGGCUCACCUCGCUGUGGUUGGUGGCAGCUCGCCUUGCUGUGGUUGGUGGUGACGUCGGAGACUGCAGCUCGGCCACAGUGGUAGAAAUGUGUUGGGGUAGCUUUUGCUGUGUUGGGCACUUGCUCCCAUCUGCUUUCUUCUCUAGAAUCCACUGCCCUAGAAUGAGUAAUUUUUCUUAGAAGCAGAGUUGGAACCACUGAGGAAGCACAGUCAUCUGAUUCAUCCUGGUAGCAAUUCCAUUCUGCAUCUCCUCUGGACACCCACAGGACCACCAGAACAACACCAUCAUGGCCCUGUCACCAGGCCCAGUUUGGCUCCAUGAUAACCAAGACGCAGGUCCAGAGACAACCGCCCUGCUUGAUGCCUGCAUCUGACCUCCCUUGGUGGGUAGUGAUGAGCACAACAUGGAAGAAGCCAGGGCAGCUUGUGGCCAGCUGCCCUACAGCCCCAGAUGGCUGGGGACAAGGAUUCCAAAAGGAUGAUUUUAGAGCUGUAGGAUUGAAUGACUGGCCUGCUGGGUUUUGGAUGUUCAUGUAUCCUAUGAGUCCCAUCGGUGUUUGUUUUUCUUUCAGGCAAUUUUUCUUCUAUUGGCUGGGAAUGCUUACCCAUUGCCUGUACAAUCAUUGUACCUUGGAAGUAGUUAACUUGCUUUAUAAUUCAGAGGCUCAUGGGCAGAAGGGACUGUAUCCUUGUCCCAGAUAAAACUUUGGGCUUUGGACAUUUGCUGGAAUGAGUUAAGAUUUGGGGGACUGUAGGGAAGUCAUCAUUGUAUUUUGCAACGUGAGAAAGACAUAUGAGAUUUGCAUGGGCAGGGACAGAAUAAUAUGACUUGGCUCUGUGUCCCACUGCUGUGAAAUUGUAACGGGAAAUGUUAAAGGUGGUGGGGGCUGGUGGAAGGUGAUUUAAUCAUGGUGGAGAGUGGAGGUUGGAAGGUGGGGGUGGUGGGGAGAAUUGGGGGGAAUUAUGGUGGGGUUGGGGGUGAAAGGCAGGGGUGGGGGUAGAUCCUUCACAAGUAAUUAAACACCAUCUCCUUAA
rnacentral:lncRNA from 1 species